UACAGAGACUGCAAGCGUUAUUCGGAUUCACUGGGCGUAAAGGGUGCGCAGGCGGCCAAGUGUGUGAGGCGUGAAAGCCCGGGGCUUAACUCCGGAAUUGCACCUCAAACUACAUGGCUAGAGCAUUGGAGAGGGUAGCAGAAUUCACGGUGUAGCAGUGAAAUGCGUAGAUAUCGUGAGGAAUACCAGAGGCGAAGGCGGCUACCUGGACAAUUGCUGACGCUCAGGCACGAAAGCGUGGGGAGCAAAAGGG
rnacentral:rRNA from 1 species